GACGAACGCUGGCGGCGUGCCUAAUACAUGCAAGUCGAACGCAGUGGGGACGGGUGAGUAACACGUGGGUAACCUCCCAUCAGAGGGGAUAACACUUGGAAACAGGUGCUAAACCGAUACUGAUGGAUGGACCCGCGGUGCAUUAGCUAGUUGGCGAGGUAACGGCUCACCACGGCCACGAUGCAUAGCCGACCGGAAAGGCUGAUCGUCCACACUGGGCCUGAGACACGGACAGGACUACACCGGGAGGCAGCAGUAGGGGAUCUUCGGAGAUGGGCGAAUGUCUGACCGAGGAACGCCGCGUGAGUGAAGAGGGUGUUCGGAUGGUAGAACUCUGUUGUUAGAGAAGCGGUAUCUAACCAGAAAGGCACGGCUAACUACGUGCCAGCAGCCGCGGUAAUUC
rnacentral:rRNA from 1 species